rnacentral:rRNA from 1 species
GACGAACGCUGGCGGCGUGCUUAACACAUGCAAGUCGAACGAUGAAGCCGGAGCUUGCUCUGGUGAAGUAGUGGCGAACGGGUGAGUAACACGUGAGUAACCUGCCCUUGACUCUGGGAUAACUGCGGGAAACUGUAGCUAAUACCGGAUACGACCACUUCUCGCAUGGGAUGGUGGUGGAAAGUUUGUUCGGCCAGGGAUGUGCUCGCGGCCUAUCAGCUUGAUGGUGAUGUAAUGGCUCACCAUGGCUUCGACGGGUAGCCGGCCUGAGAGGGUGACCGGUCACACUGGGACUGAGACACGGCCCAGACUCCUACGGGAGGCAGCAGUGGGGAAUAUUGGACAAUGGGCGGAAGCCUGAUCCAGCAACGCCGCGUGAGGGAUGACGGCCUUCGGGUUGUAAACCUCUUUCAGCAGGGACGAAGCGCAAGUGACGGUACCUGCAGAAGAAGCACCGGCCAACUACGUGCCAGCCGCCGCAGUAA